GCUGCCUCUGGACUGUGAGGCCC
rnacentral:miRNA from 1 species